rnacentral:rRNA from 1 species
GUCGCACCUACCGAUUGAAUGAUCCGGUGAAGCCUCGGGAUUGUGGUUAAUUUGCUUCAUUGCAAGCUGAUUGCAAGAACUUGUCUAAACCUUAUCAUUUAGAGGAAGGUG